rnacentral:rRNA from 1 species
GAUGAACGCUGGCGGCGUGCCUAAUACAUGCAAGUCGAGCGAACAGAUAAGGAGCUUGCUCCUUUGACGUUAGCGGCGGACGGGUGAGUAACACGUGGGUAACCUACCUAUAAGACUGGGAUAACUUCGGGAAACCGGAGCUAAUACCGGAUAACAUUUGGAACCGCAUGGUUCUAAAGUGAAAGAUGGUUUUGCUAUCACUUAUAGAUGGACCCGCGCCGUAUUAGCUAGUUGGUAAGGUAACGGCUUACCAAGGCGACGAUACGUAGCCGACCUGAGAGGGUGAUCGGCCACACUGGAACUGAGACACGGUCCAGACUCCUACGGGAGGCAGCAGUAGGGAAUCUGCCGCAAUGGGCGAAAGCCUGACGGAGCAACGCCGCGUGAGUGAUGAAGGGUUUCGGCUCGUAAAACUCUGUUAUUAGGGAAGAACAAAUGUGUAAGUAACUGUGCACGUCUUGACGGUACCUAAUCAGAAAGCCACGGCUAACUACGUG